UUUUCCGUCGGAAGGAGGCUUGGAGGGCUUGAUCUCCGACUAUUCUAACACCAGCGAUGGCAGACGCUUGCAGGGUAAUUGAAAAGGGGGCGCAUAUGUCGUGGAGCAAGCCCGGAGAAUAUUCGCGUUUCAUCUAGCACAAGGAAGAGUUGCCAUUGGGGCUCAUCGUAUGAGUCGCUCUCCUAAUGAACUCUCUCUCUCUCGUUUUUUCCAUCGGAAGGAGGCUUGGAGGGCUUGAUCCCCGACUAUUCUAACACCAGCGAUGGCGGACGCUUGCAGGGUAAUUGAAAAAGGGGCGCAUAUGUCGUGGAGCAAGCCCGGAGAAUAUUCGCUAUCAUCUCGCACAAGGAAGAGUUGCCAUUGGGGUUCCUCGUAUGAGUCGCUCUCCUAAUGACCUCUCUCUCUCUCUUUUUUCCAUCGGAAGGAGGCUUGGAGGGCUUGAUCUCCGACUAUUCAAACACCAGCGAUGGCGGACGCUUGCAGGGUAAUUAAGAAAGGACCGCAUAUGUCUUGGAGCAAGCCUGGAGAAUAUUCGCGUAUCAUCUCGCACAAGGAAGAGUUGCCAUUGGGGUUCCUCGUAUGAGUCGCCCUCCUAAUGAACUUUCUCUCUUUCUAUCUCUAUCUCUCUCUUCUCGAGGGGAAUCUGUGGAGUGACGAGCGGGGUAGGCAGAAUGAUUCAGAAUGACACUCUCUUUGAUAGGUUUAGCUGCAAACGAGUUUCAGCUGGGAUUGGGAACGAAUUGAACUGGUGGUCCUUCGAAAACCACCAUGGCAUUUGGUGGAUGCUGCGGGAAUCUGGGGAAAGAGUCUAAAACCCACCGGGAAAAGCACUGCGAUCUCUCCAACCCCCUCUCUUCCUCGCUCUCUCUCUCUGUGCUUAUAUAUGUAUAUUAUAAGGAAACUUAUUUACUUUUGUCAUGUAAAAGUCGGCGAUGAUGACAGGGAAGGUGGGAAAGAAACACGCG
rnacentral:lncRNA from 1 species